rnacentral:rRNA from 1 species
CCUACGGGAGGCAGCAGUGAGGAAUAUUGGACAAUGGGCGCAAGCCUGAUCCAGCCAUGCCGCGUGCAGGAAGAAGCAUCUAUGGUGUGUAAACUGCUUUUGUACAGGAAGAAACACUCCCUCGUGAGGGAGCUUGACGGUACUGUAAGAAUAAGGACCGGCUAACUCCGUGCCAGCAGCCGCGGUAAUACGGAGGGUCCGAGCGUUAUCCGGAAUCAUUGGGUUUAAAGGGUCCGUAGGCGGUUUAAUAAGUCAGUGGUGAAAUCUGGUCGCUCAACGAUCAAACGGCCAUUGAUACUGUUAGACUUGGAUUAUAAGGAAGUAACUAGAAUAUGUAGUGUAGCGGUGAAAUGCUUAGAUAUUACAUGGAAUACCAAUUGCGAAGGCAGGUUACUACUUAUGGAUUGACGCUGAUGGACGAAAGCGUGGGGAGCGAACAGGAUUAGAUACCCUGGUAGUCCACGCCGUAAACGAUGGAUACUAGCUGUUCGGAGCAAUCUGAGUGGCUAAGCGAAAGUGAUAAGUAUCCCACCUGGGGAGUACGUUCGCAAGAAUGAAACUCAAAGGAAUUGACG